AGUAGGGUGAUCGAGAAGUAUAGGUGAAAGAUUGUAAAUCUUUUUAGGAGUAUAUAAAUACUCUCCUACUA
rnacentral:tRNA from 1 species